AGUCACUAACACAUGCAAGUCGAGCGGAUGAAGAGAGCUUGCUCUCUGAUUUAGCGGCGGACGGGUGAGUAAUGCCUAGGAAUCUGCCUGGUAGUGGGGGAUAACGUUCCGAAAGGAACGCUAAUACCGCGUACGUCCUACGGGAGAAAGCAGGGGACCUUCGGGCCUUGCGCUAUCAGAUGAGCCUAGGUCGGAUUAGCUAGUUGGUGAGGUAAUGGCUCACCAAGGCGACUGAUCCGUAACUGGUCUGAGAGGAUGAUCAGUCACACUGGAACUGAGACACGGUCCAGACUCCUACGGGAGGCAGCAGUGGGGAAUAUUGGACAAUGGGCGAAAGCCUGAUCCAGCCAUGCCGCGUGUGUGAAGAAGGUCUUCGGAUUGUAAAGCACUUUAAGUUGGGAGGAAGGGCAGUAAGUUAAUACCUUGCUGUUUUGACGUUACCGACAGAAUAAGCACCGGCUAACUUCGUGCCAGCAGCCGCGGUAAUACGAAGGGUGCAAGCGUUAAUCGGAAUUACUGGGCGUAAAGCGCGCGUAGGUGGUUCGUUAAGUUGGAUGUGAAAGCCCCGGGCUCAACCUGGGAACUGCAUCCAAAACUGGCGAGCUAGAGUACGGUAGAGGGUGGUGGAAUUUCCUGUGUAGCGGUGAAAUGCGUAGAUAUAGGAAGGAACACCAGUGGCGAAGGCGACCACCUGGACUGAUACUGACACUGAGGUGCG
rnacentral:rRNA from 1 species